GCGAGAGGGAGCCGCCGCUGUUGGGUUGCAGUUCUGCCUCGCCGUCAUCCAUGGAGCCACGAGCCAUCCCUAGUCGCCAUCGCAUCAAACGCAGGAGUGGCCACUAUCGUUGCAGAGAAGUCGCACUGCCACCGUCGCAUCCUCGCUGCCAGCUUCGUCGGAUCUUGCCGUUGAACCCGUCCUUGCCGCCUCCAUUAGAGCCGCGAACAGGGGAGGGAGAAGAAGAUGCGAGCCAUGGCCGAGGGGGAGGAGGCACCGUGUCUGGUGGCUGCCGUCCUGUCACCACUGUCUACCUCUGUCACUGCCAAACUGCUGCUCUACGGUGCUUAGCUGGAGCUUUUGUUACUAUUGCCGGAGAUCUGUGGUUGCCAGAAAAUACCGCUGUUGUUGCUGCCGAAGGAGGAGGAAGCCUUGCCACUGUUCGGGCCGCCAGGAGCAGUCCUAUGGCCACCGAAACCAUUACCGAGGAUGCCACUACUUGGCUCAGCCACUUUUUCUUAGUUGCGCCGCCGUCUGGGUUACGUGGAGGGAAGAAGAGCCGCUGGGUGUCACCGUACCUUGCGUCCACCACCUCUAUCACCGAAAACAGCCGCUGAGUCCUCUGUAUUGGGUUGUGUAUUUGUGCUUGCCUUCCGUACUCGGAGUUUGCAGCUGCCUCGUUUUGUCAUUUCAGUAGACCUGUUUAUACUACUGCGAAAGUGUGUGUUGCUAUGCUUUGAAGCUGCCAUUGAUUUUGGGUCGAGACGAAAGGAUUUCUGAGAGGCAUUUGGGUUAUGGUUUCAAUUUGUCGAGUGGCUAGCCACCACGUGCUCCAGGUGGAAACUCGAUACUCUCCUGACCCUAUGUCGUAAGUGAGGCCAGACAUUGUGAAAGUUUUGGAUGAGCUCGUCCCCUUGAAUAUACACCAGUGAGGGUGUUGGAUGUGAAUUAUAAUUAUGAUUGUGAAUAACUCGAGUUGGGGAUGCACGACAGAGAGACAGUAUGAAAAGUAUGAAAAGCUAAUUUGGUUCAGCAUAAGAUAAGCCUUUUGAAAGGCUUUUAAAUUUUUAAGAAAUGAACAGUUUCUCUUUCAGAAAAGAUUUUAGAUUUAUUCUUUUAUAGUAAACCUUUGCUUUUGAAAAGAUGCAUAAGGCAGUUAUUAACACUGUAACGAUCUUAUCUCUCGUAUCUAUUAUAGUAAUUCUUCAAC